rnacentral:rRNA from 1 species
UACAGAGGGGGCGAGCGUUAUUCGGAAUUAUUGGGCGUAAAGGGCGCGUAGGCGGCUUUGCAAGUGACGGGUGAAAUCCCUCGGCUUAACCGAGGAACUGCCUGUCAAACUGCAUGGCUUGAGACCGGGAGAGGUGAGUGGAAUUCCCAGUGUAGCGGUGAAAUGCGUAGAUAUUGGGAGGAACACCAGUGGCGAAGGCGGCUCACUGGACCGGUACUGACGCUGAGGCACGAAGGCCAGGGGAGCAAACGGG